GUCUCCUGUGCCUGCUGUGCUGAUAAUCAGUGUGUGACGUCGGCUGGCUCAGUUCAGCAGGAACAGGGGAC
ncrna:Oryzias latipes (Japanese medaka) microRNA ola-mir-24a precursor (ola-mir-24a-2)